rnacentral:rRNA from 1 species
GACGAACGCUGGCGGCGUGCCUAAUACAUGCAAGUGGGACGCAAGGGAACACACUGUGCUUGCACACCGUGUUUUCUUGAGUCGCGAACGGGUGAGUAACGCGUAGGUAACCUGCCUAUUAGCGGGGGAUAACUAUUGGAAACGAUAGCUAAUACCGCAUAAUAUUAAUUAUUGCAUGAUAAUUGAUUGAAAGAUGCAAGCGCAUCACUAGUAGAUGGACCUGCGUUGUAUUAGCUAGUUGGUAAGGUAAGAGCUUACCAAGGCGACGAUACAUAGCCGACCUGAGAGGGUGAUCGGCCACACUGGGACUGAGACACGGCCCAGACUCCUACGGGAGGCAGCAGUAGGGAAUCUUCGGCAAUGGACGAAAGUCUGACCGAGCAACGCCGCGUGAGUGAAGAAGGUUUUCGGAUCGUAAAGCUCUGUUGUAAGUCAAGAACGUGUGUGAGAGUGGAAAGUUCACACAGUGACGGUAGCUUACCAGAAAGGACGGCUAACUAC